rnacentral:rRNA from 1 species
UACAGAGGUCCCAAGCGUUGUUCGGAUUCAUUGGGCGUAAAGGGUGCGUAGGUGGCGUCGUAAGUCAGGUGUGAAAUUUCGGAGCUUAACUCCGAAACUGCAUUUGAUACUGCGGUGCUUGAGGACUGGAGAGGAGACUGGAAUUUACGGUGUAGCAGUGAAAUGCGUAGAGAUCGUAAGGAAGACCAGUGGCGAAGGCGGGUCUCUGGACAGUUCCUGACACUGAGGCACGAAGGCCAGGGGAGCAAACGGG